CUCAGAAUCUGAAAAGCAUCACAGGAGCCUCUGGAUAAAGACCAGCCUCAGUAGCAAGUCUAGGAGACAGAGGAUUUCUGCUCAGUGAUAAAACAUGAAACAGAUGUGAGCAAGCAGUAUGGAGCUCAAGAGAGGAAAGACCUUCAUAAAAUCCAGUGUGCAACAUGAGAAAGCACCACCAGUGCACACAGUGCCUACUAACAAAGACGACACAGGGAAAGACAAGAAGGCAGCUCUGGAGGGAAACCAAAGUGCAGCUGAAGUCCAGCUGGCAUGUUUGGCCACACACAAGAACUACAGAUUUUCUACCAGAGCAGCAAGGAAUGGAGCUGGUGACAAUAACCUGGAAAAAUCAUCUGGGUCCUCCUAUAAACUUGUAAGGAAGAGUAAAACCCAUGACUGUGUUACUGAGGCAGACAGAACAGAGCACUGCAGCCCCAGCAGCAGGGCUUGUGAGGAAGGUUUUUCUGGAAAGGGUAAGGGCCGACUUGUUAAUAGCAUCAGCUUUUCAGGGGUGUCCAGCUCCAGCAGUAAGAAAGAGUGUGUGGUCAGCCCCAGCCAGUCUGCAUGCAGCAGUCAGAUGAUUGAUUACAGGAACUUUGUGCCACAGAUGCCUUUUGUACCAGCUGUUGCAAAAACCAUUCCCAGGAAGAGGAUCUCCCUCAAGAGAUCAAAGAAAGGGCUCAGAGAUAUAUUUCAUAUUAAAAAAAAUAAACCAGAUAGCCUCACGUUCCUGGUUGAGAAGGAAAAGAAUCUAUCCUCUCCAGGUUGCAAAAGUGAGUUCUCUGGGCGUCUUGCAAAGUAUCUUUUCAAAACUGGAGAAACAUUUGCAGCUGAUUGUUUGUCACAAGACUGCUCAGACAGUGAACUGCAGUCUGACUCUUCCUAUGACUGCUGCAACACCCUGUGUGAAGAUGUUGCUUCACUGAAGAGCUUUGAUUCCCUCACUGGCUGUGGGGAAAUCUUUGCUGAUGAGAGCUCUGCUCACCUGGAGCUGGAGAACAGCAAAGAAGUUCUGCUGAGACGAAGCAAGCACAAAGACAGCCCUGUCAUGGGCUCUUUCCAAGGGGGUGUGGAGCAGCUGGCCUCUCCUGGCCAGAAUGAGACUGUUGAAUUUGCAAAGUUUUGGGACAACAUCAACAAAUCGGUGAGGUUGCAUCAGAGUGCUCUGUUUGAUAAGAAGUUACUGAAGGUACCUGGUCCUGACGUGGAAAAGGCUGGAAAAGGCCAGGCUGUUGCAUCUGUGACAGACCCCCAAGUGUCACCUGAUAAAGAUGGUGACAAUUCCAAAGAGAGCUCCACAGAAACAGGAACGCCGAAAAGCGACAACCAAGAAUCCACAUCCACAAGUGAUGAAGGCUAUUAUGAUUCAUUCUCUCCUGGACAAGAUGAUGAAAUGAAGGAAGCUCAGACCCCUGGGGUCCAAGGUAGAUUUCCGAGAGACAGCUACAGUGGAGAUGCUCUUUAUGAGCUCUUCUAUGACCCAAAUGAAGUCAAAAUAAACCCAGUCCUAGACGAUGACAUGUGCACAUCUGAAAGCAUCUCAGAACAAGCCAUUGAAAUCCCUUUGUCCAUUUACAGCUUUCAUGUUGGAGCUGAGGAGAACAUGGCUUCCCAACCAGCUCUAGAUAUUAUCAGCCAGGGUUUUUUCCACAGCACAUGGAAAGGCAAAGAAUGUUUGCUAAAGCUCUGCGAUACUGAGCUUUCACUGACCAUGGGGAUAAUAAACUGGCUGCGAAAACACUCGGGACUUGUUUCCUCCCCUGACUCUCUUCAGGGUCCCCAGUCACAGCCAGAAAAGUCUAAUGAUUCAUCAAUCCCACCCAGCCCUAGUCCAGAGCAGAAAGUGAGUACAGAAGCUCAGCAGGAGAAACCAAGCAAGGAAGAAUCUAAUAUAUUUAACUUACAAGUGUCUCUGGAUGAAAGCAAAUACGUAACUCAGGCCUCUUCAGUAAACAUUGCUGAAAGAGACCACGGCCUGGACUCUUGCCCUAACACUUCUAAUCUGGAUUUCCAGGAAAGGGAAGGGAGUCACCACAAAGAUUCAUCUACAGCGCCUAGGACAGUGGAAACCACCAGAGCAUCAAGUUAUGCACCACCAUCACAGGCUAAUGGAGACAAUCUGCAGGCAUCUCCAACUGAGAAUGAGAAGGCGACAGUUUUAGAAGGAUGUGAGACAUCUGGAGAUAAAAAUCCACUGCCUGAAAAGCUGAACAGAGAGAGUGGCUCCCUGAGCUCUGAAAAUCCUUCAUUAGAUGAUAAUCAUGAAGUAGAAUCAUGUUACUCCUACAAGACUGCUGCGACUUCACUCCUAGAUCCCCCUGAGAGGGAGGACAUAAAUAAACCAAUGUAUCACUCUCUCUCGAUUUCCUGUGACAAACCACUGCAGCCUCUCACUCUCAGACGCUUCCAGAGCUACAUUAGCCCCACACCAACAGAGAGCAGCACUAACAUAGUGCAGCUCUUAGAGCGCUGUGUAACACAAGUGGCAUCAUUAAAGAUCAGCUAUGAAAACAAGCACUUGGAAGACAAAUUCAUUGGGAAUGAAAUGAACAGUAUCAUUCGUAAGAUGUCUCAGUACAAAAACAAGUUGUUGUUGCAAAAUGAAUGCAACUGCAUUGCCCAAAAUUCAGAAUACUCCAGUAUUCCUAACACAAACCAGUACAACUAUGAGACAAGUUUCCAAUCCAGCAGUCUGUAUCAUUUGAAGCAAAAUGGGGAGCAAAUUUGCUCAGAAGAUCAGAAAAGUAGAACAAAACUCCUAGAUGAGGUCACUAGAAGCAAGAUAAAUUUUGAAUAUGCCCAGCUAAAUAACCAAGCGCUGUCUUAUUUAAAAGACUUUGCAUUUGAUCUCAGUCCAAGUGACUCUUCCCCUGCUACAACUCUCAGUAGACCAACAUUUUUACCUCUCUUGAACUCUGUCUGUUCAGACAUACCUGCUACUUUUUCACCAGCUUCAUACAGCACCACUGUCUCCCUAGCUGACUCGCUGCAGCCUAAGGAGGCCAAGCAGCUCAGCGCAGGGCCGUGGAGAUACUCUGAGCCGCCCUGCAGUGGCCUGGUUGGAGGCACCGCUCUGUCCCCCCAAACAGAGGCAGCCACCCUGGACACAGCGGUGACAGGGAGGAACAACCAGUAACACCCCUGCACUGAGAAGGAUGGAUCUGCAGACAUGAAAAGAUUCAAAGAAAGAAUGUAGACAUGAAGGUGCAACGCUGAAGAAUCCAUUUGUAGAUAUGGAUGCUGCCCCCCGCCAUGUGUAAUAUAGCAUGACAUAGUUCCAUGACGUUACAUCGAUAUCAGAAUCAGCGACGAUAUCUCUCUAGAGAUCCUACCAGAGAUGUUGCAGCAGAAAAUCAUGCUAGCCUAUCUAACUGACUAAUAUAGUUAGGAGUUCCUGACAGCCACACACCCCUGAAGCCAUGUUUGCAGAUGGUUGGUAACUAAUACUCUUUUUUUUUGCCAUGACAAGGAGGCUUAAGAAAAAAAAAAGACAGCGUAUUUCUGUCUCAUUGUGCUACACAACAAUUGAAAAUACCACUUUAUUUUUAAAACAUAGGUAUGUGAAGAGUGAGCAUUCACUUGGGCAGUUGUUAUGAAGAUGUAUAUUGGUUUCAGUUGUACUUUUUUUUUUUUAAUUUUACAGAAAUGCUUUAUAUAAUUUAUGGCAACCGUCUAACCAUCAUAAAGCAACAAGGUUCUAGACUGCAGAUUUUCUGCCUGGGGAAAGGUAUUUUGUAAACAUACAAAUAUCAGGAAGCAUAAUAUAGUAUGCCAUAUAUUCUCCAAAGACAUGUGUUUAUCAUGUAGCAGAAAUGUUGAAUAGGAUAAAGAGGUAUACUUGAAAAUCACCAUCAAAAUGAU